UACGAAGGGGGCUAGCGUUGCUCGGAAUCACUGGGCGUAAAGCGCGUGUAGGCGGAUGGGCAAGUCUGCUGUGAAAGCGCCUGGCUUAACCGGGCGAGGUCGGUGGAAACUGCCAAUCUGGAGGACGGUAGAGGUGGGUGGAAUUCCCGGUGUAGUGGUGAAAUGCGUAGAGAUCGGGAGGAACACCUGUGGCGAAGGCGGCCCACUGGGCCGGACCUGACGCUGAGACGCGAAGGCGUGGGGAGCGAACGGG
rnacentral:rRNA from 1 species